rnacentral:rRNA from 1 species
ACGGAGGGUGCAAGCGUUAAUCGGAAUUACUGGGCGUAAAGCGUGCGUAGGCGGUUGUUUAAGUCAGAUGUGAAAGCCCCGGGCUUAACCUGGGAACUGCAUUUGAUACUGGGCAACUAGAGUUGAGUAGAGGGGAGUGGAAUUUCAGGUGUAGCGGUGAAAUGCGUAGAGAUCUGAAGGAACACCAGUGGCGAAGGCGGCUCCCUGGACUCAAACUGACGCUGAGGUACGAAAGCGUGGGUAGCAAACAGGAUUAGAUACCCUGGUAGUCCACGCCGUAAACGAUGUCAACUAACUGUUGGGUUCUUUAAGAACUUAGUAGUGGAGCUAACGUAUUAAGUUGACCGCCUGGGGAGUACGGCCGCAAGGCUAAAACUCAAAUGAAUUGACGGGGGCCCGCACAAGCGGUGGAGCAUGUGGUUUAAUUCGAUGCAACGCGAAGAACCUUACCUACCCUUGACAUCCUCGGAACUUGUCAGAGAUGACUUGGUGCCUUCGGGAACCGAGAGACAGGUGCUGCAUGGCUGUCGUCAGCUCGUGUUGUGAAAUGUUGGGUUAAGUCCCGUAACGAGCGCAACCCUUAUCCUUAGUUGCCAGCGAGUAAUGUCGGGAACUCUAGGGAGACUGCCGGUGAUAAACCGGAGGAAGGUGGGCACGACGUCAAGUCAUCAUGGCCCUUAUGGGUAGGGCUACACACGUGCUACAGUGGCCGGUACAGAGGGCAGCGAAACCGUGAGGUCAAGCAAAUCCCACAAAGCCGGUCCCAGUCCGGAUUGCAGUCUGCAACUCGACUGCAUGAAGUCGGAAUCGCUAGUAAUCGCGGAUCAGAUAUGCCGCGGUGAAUACGUUCCCGG